GUUUUUUAUUCUCACGCUUGGUGAUGAGGUUGAACAACUAGGGACAAGUAUGCAUUACACCCUUGGUGAGGAGGUUGAACAACUAGGGACAAGUAUGCAUUACACCCUUGGUGAGGAGGUUGAACAACUAGGGACAAGUAUGCAUUACACCCUUGGUGAGGAGGUUGAACAACUAGGGACAAGUAUGCAUUACACCCUUGGUGAUUUGUGACGCUGGCAGCGGAGCCAAACGAACCAUCUUCGGGCGGAGGAUCCUCUUUGACCUUGCUGUUUGUUGGUGACGUGUUUUCAAUUUCCGAGUGACCAACUCACUGCAGCAGCUAGCUAGCUACAUAUUAUAACACCAUAUGUGAUUUAACCGAACGUUUUUGGUAUCCAUUAUCCUGGUCGUUCCAAGUUUAGCAGUCAGUUUGGCGAUACUGUCUCGGAAAAUGUUCUUGUCCAGUUGCAAAGGGUCAUUUGUUCGUUUUUUUUUUGAAAAUGCUCCCUUUUUAUUAAAAUAAAAUUAAUUUCUCAGUGGAAGUGUUCCAACAAUGUGUACGCCGCCAUCUUGUCUGUCUCUCUCAUUGUUGGAGAAAGGUGUCUGUCAUCUUAAUAUGCAGCACUUUGGGGUGGACCCACCUGUCUCGAUGAGAGAGGGCUCGAUGAGAGAUGGCGGGGCACACAUUGUUGGAUUUCUUCAUGGAGCACAAAUAAUUAUGGAGCAUUUCCUAAAUUCAAACAGACCCUCUGCAAACAACAAAAAAAUGACUCAAAAGUCAUCCAGUAAAAUACUCCUUGAGUAAAUGUCUAAAAGUAACUGAUUUUAAAUAUACUUUGCCAUGCUGGAGUAAAAUAAAUACAUCAAAUUCCUGAUAUUAAGCAAACCAGACAGACAGGGGCACACUCCAACACUCAGACAUCGAUGCAGGUGUUUGUGUCCUAAUAAUUAAUUACAAAGAUUGCUCUGAAAACGUCUUAUUGGUGUAUACUGCCUUCGAUUUAGACCUUUUACGCUGAUCGAGCACUGUGAGGUGGUUACUAUUGUAUAAUCUGCCUACUGCCAUCAGUUUAAUAUCUAAUUAUUACUGUGCAUGUAAACAUAUGGUGCUAAGGGGUAACUAGCCCCUCCCUAAGAACAAUGUCUAAUUAUUACUGAGCAUGUAAACAUAUGGUGCUAAGGGGUAACUAGCCCCUCCCUAAGAACAAUGUCUAAUUAUUACUGAGCAUGUAAACAUAUGGUGCUAAGGGG
ensembl:lncRNA